rnacentral:rRNA from 1 species
ACCUGAUUGAGUGAUUAGCUUGCUAUGAACUCAUGACUGGUUAGCGGCGGACGGGUGAGUAACGCGUGGGUAACCUGCCUCAUACAGGGGGAUAGCAGUUGGAAACGACUGGUAAUACCGCAUAAGCGCACAGUACCGCAUGGUACAGUGUGAAAAACUCCGGUGGUAUGAGAUGGACCCGCGUCCGAUUAGCCAGUUGGCGGGGUAACGGCCCACCAAAGCGACGAUCGGUAGCCGGCCUGAGAGGGCGGACGGCCACAUUGGGACUGAGACACGGCCCAGACUCCUACGGGAGGCAGCAAUGGGGGAUAUUGCACAAUGGAAGAAACUCUGAUGCAGCGACGCCGCGUGGGUGAAGAAGUAUUUCGGUAUGUAAAGCCCUAUCAGCAGGGACGAUAAUGACGGUACCUGACUAAGAAGCCCCGGCUAACUACGUGCCAGCCGCCGC